rnacentral:rRNA from 1 species
GACGAACGCUGGCGGCGUGCUUAACACAUGCAAGUCGAACGGAAAGGCCCUGCUUGCAGGGUACUCGAGUGGCGAACGGGUGAGUAACACGUGGGUGAUCUGCCCUGCACUUCGGGAUAAGCCUGGGAAACUGGGUCUAAUACCGGAUAGGAGCCAUUUUUAGUGUGAUGGUUGGAAAGUUUUUUCGGUGUAGGAUGAGCUCGCGGCCUAUCAGCUUGUUGGUGGGGUAAUGGCCUACCAAGGCGGCGACGGGUAGCCGGCCUGAGAGGGUGGACGGCCACUUUGGGACUGAGAUACGGCCCAGACUCCUACGGGAGGCAGCAGUGGGGAAUAUUGCACAAUGGGCGCAAGCCUGAUGCAGCGACGCCGCGUGGGGGAUGACGGCCUUCGGGUUGUAAACUCCUUUCGCUAGGGACGAAGCUUUUUGUGACGGUACCUAGAUAAGAAGCACCGGCUAACUACGUG